rnacentral:rRNA from 1 species
CCUACGGGCGGCUGCAGUGGGGAAUAUUGGACAAUGGGCGAAAGCCUGAUCCAGCCAUGCCGCGUGUGUGAAGAAGGCCUUCGGGUUGUAAAGCACUUUCAGUGGGGAAGAAAGCCUUGGGGCUAAUACCCUCGAGGAAGGACAUCACCCGCAGAAGAAGCACCGGCUAACUCCGUGCCAGCAGCCGCGGUAAUACGGAGGGUGCGAGCGUUAAUCGGAAUUACUGGGCGUAAAGCGCGCGUAGGCGGUCUGAUAAGCCGGUUGUGAAAGCCCCGGGCUCAACCUGGGAACGGCAUCCGGAACUGUCAGGCUAGAGUGCAGGAGAGGAAGGUAGAAUUCCCGGUGUAGCGGUGAAAUGCGUAGAGAUCGGGAGGAAUACCAGUGGCGAAGGCGGCCUUCUGGACUGACACUGACGCUGAGGUGCGAAAGCGUGGGUAGCAAACAGGAUUAGAUCCCCCUGUAGUC